rfam:Rattus norvegicus chromosome 10, whole genome shotgun sequence.
GGGGAUUUAGCUCAGUGGUAGAGCGCUUGCCUAGCAAGGCCCUGGGUUCGGUCCCCAGCUCCG